UUUUUGCCUUUUCUGAGCCGCUCCCUCAGCAUAUGGAGGUUCCCAGGCUAGGGGUCUAAUCAGAGCUGUAGCUACCAGCCUACGCCAGAGCCACAGCAACGCGGGAUCCGAGCCGCGUCUGCGACCUACACCACAGUUCACGGCAACGCCAGGUCCUUAACCCACUGAGCAAGGCCAGGGAUCGAAGCCGCAAUCUCAUGGUUCCUAGUCGGAUUCGUUAACCACUGUGCCACGACGGGAACUCCUAUACAUAUAUACAUUUUAUUACAUAUGGUACAUAUAAUACAUAUUAUAUCAAAGUAUACAUAUGUCAUUAGUAAGAGAGGGUCAUGAUAAAUAGUAAUACGGUGAAGGGGUUUCUGUCUUCAGGGUCUGGGGGCUUUUACCCCAGAGAAUACAGCUCUGAGGCUAUCCCUCUAGGCAGCCUCUCCGGAAGGUCUCUGCCCAUUGGGCCGGAGGGGGAGGACAAGUGGCUUCUCAAAUUACAGAGGUUUUUUUUUUUUGGAAGGGCUAGACUCUGAGGGGAGGGAGAGGGAGCUGGGGAGGUCACAGUUUCAGGCUCUGCCAUUGAUUGGCUGUAACUUUUGCCCAUGAUCUACACAUCUCUGAACCUUGGUCCCCUGGACAGUAAAACAAAAAGAACAGUAACAGCCACGUUGGCUGAUUUGUUAUCACAUCCAGGCGCUGUCUUUGGGCUUUAAGUGCAUCUUUCAAACCUCCUGUGUUUGUGGUGCUAGGCCUACUUCAAUGAAAAGGAGCCUUGCCUGAAGUUUUCUGGACUAAAGAGGAUCAGGACCAAGUUAAAAGCUCUAUCUGACUCAAAAUUUGGGGAGGAGGCACCCCAAAAAUGGUUGAGCACAGCCCCUCCAAACUGGUUAAAGGAAGAAAUGGGAAAAGCCUAGUGACAAUAUUGAAAGUACUCAGGAGGGUUAGUUGCUUUGAUGGCAGUGGAGCCAGAGGCAAUAAAAUCUGUUAAACAGCCAUGGACUUGGAAGUCAGCAGACCCUUCAGACUCCUGGAAAAGGGUUCAGGGCUUGUUCACUGAGAUCCACCCGCAGUCAACUCUCCUUCCUGGGAAUGAUCCCACCUCUGAGAAGGCUGACUCAGCUGUAUCCCCCAGUUUACAGAUGGAAACACUGAGGUUGAGAACAGGGAGAGAGCGACCUGACUCCCUGAGGAAGAAUUGAGAUUUGGAGGGAGCUCUGGCUUGGACCCAAGUGAAGGGCGACCUUACCUCUGUCCAUCCUGCUGCAAGCUGCAGGGGGAGCCCAGAGCCGGGACCAAAGAUAGCACUCCAGGUGCCCCCUCCCUGCCUGGUGUGACACAUGCUCUGGGGGAAAUGCCACUUCUCCCUGCCAGCCUCCCUGCCACCGGCCCUCUAGGUGUCGGCUGGAUCCUGUGGUACCCCAAUGAUGUUUGCUGUGAAGUCUGAGCAUCAGGAGGCACUGGCUCUCUCUUGUCCCUGCAGCCUCAGGGCCACCUACCCUCUUUUGUAGGUCUCUAGGUCUCUCCCCACCCCCACCCCCACAUGAAAGCGCUCAGCUUUGGGACUGGGAGAGGGAGGAAACUGGGCAGAGGAGUGGUCUCAGCCCAAGCCUGGCCAGGGGAGAGGAGGAGGAGGCCCCAUCAGUAGCCAGGGGAGUGGGGGCAGGGAGAGCAGGGAGAGUGGUGAGGGGGACCUGGGUGGCUUGGAGCCAAAGGGCCUUCAGCUCUGCCAGUCAAGGAGAGAAAGGGCUCUUCUGAGUGGCUGUUGCCUCUUGCAUCCCCUACAGUGGAGGAAAGACAGGAGGGUUUCCAGGUUCAAAAUGUCUCCUAACCUUAAUCAGGUGGCGAGAGUAGGAGUCUGAGAAAUUGGUAUCCUAAAACCAAUCUCUGGAAUAGGAUUGGAACCGUGGGAUUCGAAUUCUGCCCUCUGUUAAUCACGCCUGACACCAGUUAAGUUCAUUUGGCCUCACAAUACUUUUAUGGGGGAGGUGGAGUUAGCACCCCUAUUUUACAGGUGAGAAAACUGAAGACAGAGAGGUUAAGUAACUUGCCCAAGGAUACACAGCUGGGAAACAGGGGCACUAAGAUCCCAACCAGGCAGCCGGGCCCCAGAGCCCGCGUUCCUGACCACCACCCUCCGUUCUCAUGGACCAGAAUCAGAUGCUUGAAGUUACAGUCAUGGAAUAGAAUUAGAAUCCUGGCAUGAGACUUGUGGGCAGGAUUCAGAAUUUUAUAAUGUCAGACUCUGCAGGGCUCUGAGAUAUAUCCAAAUCUCCCAAUCAACACAUGGCGGAGCCAAGGUCUCGGCGAUGGAAGGGUCUCACUCAAGGUCACAGCCUAGGCCAGGAGCGGGGUCUGGAAGCCCCUCUCUCUACCUCCCACUCAUUCUGGUCCAGGGUGCCUUCCUCUCCAUCCCAGGCCCUCCUCUCCCCCCUCUCCCCUCCUCCCCGCCCACCCAGUGGCUCCGGGGCCCAGCCAGUCCCAUUAGGGAUUUUCCACCUCCCCAAAAAGGUUCUAAUGACUGUCAGUCCUUGUGAAGCCUUAAUUAAUCUCAGAGGCCGAUGGCUCGGAGGAGUCCGGGGCCUUUGGCCUUACGCAGAUGAAGAUUACGGCUCCAUUUCAUGUGGUGGUGAAGGAACGCCUCAGACAUUCCUGCCAGCAAUAAAAGCCACAUGGCUUUCCAGCGUUGCCCUUGGAAAAGAAAAAAAGCGCAGCCCUUUGCGGAAAGAAAUCAACUAUGUGCUGUAUGCAUGGCAUGAGAUAAAAACGGGGCAGAACGAGGUGGAGAACAGUUGGUCUUUUAUGCGGCCUCCGAUGGCCACCUCGAGGGGCAGGGACCAGAGGUCAUGAUCCCAGCAGCAGCCCCCGGGAGAGGGGGUGGCCCUGGGCGUGGUGGUGGAAGCCCCUCAACCUGAACUGAGUUUGAGCAGCCCCACCCAUCCCACGGGCAGGGCUGGCUUCCUGGGACCCUGACCCCUGCCGUCCCCCAGGGCCUUUCUCUCAGAAGGGCCUGACACUCGGUUUAACGUUCUGCCAUCCCUGCCUUGACAGUCUUAAUAUUUUUGGAACAAGGAGCCUGCGUUUUCAUUUUGCACUGGGCCCCUCAAGUGUUGUCACAGGUCCUGCCCACCGGUCACCCCAUCAGCCAAUUGCCAGCAUGUCUUCUGGCCCCUUCCAUACACCCGGGACUGGGAAGAGUAUUUUUUGAGCACCUGCUUUGCUUAAAUUGUCUGAGAUGAACUUCACGACAACCUUGUCAAUUGAGCAGUUGUGGAAACUGAGGCUUUGAGCGUCUCCCAUGGGGCAAGAAAGCUUCGAUUUGGACGCGUCAGGUCCUUAGCCCUCCCCAUUCUGCAGUGUUUCAUCCUCACCAUGCCCAGUGGGCCGUGCACACAGUCAGGUUUUUAUUCCCAAGUAACAGAAAGGAUAACUGAGGCCAAACAAGUGAAGGUGCUCAUGGUUAUACCCAGACAGUGUGGGGUGGGGCACUCAGACCCUGGCUCUGCAACAGGGGACCCUGGCCUAGACCCACAGGCCUGGGGUGGGGGUGUCCCAGUUUUACAGUUGUUCAUUCCACUUGUUUUUAUUAUUUUUUUAUUUUUUGCUUUUUAGGGCCGUACCCGUGGCAUAUGGUGGUUCCCAGGCUAGGGGUCCAAUUGGAGCUAUAGCUGCUGGCCUACACCACAGCCACAGCAAUGCCAGAUCUGAGCAGCCUCUGUGACCUACUCCACAGCUCAUGGUAAUGCCAGAUCCUUAACCCACUGAGCGAGGCCAGGGAUCGAACCCUCAACCUCAUGGUUCCUAGUCGGAUUUGUUGCUGCUGCGCCACGACAGGAGCUCUUGUUUGUUCCACAUGUAAAUUUAUUAGCUCUUCUAUGUGGGUCAUUGCCUUGAGUCUGGCCUGCGAUAUGGUGGGAGUCCUGUCCCCCCACCCCCACAGCUCUCCAUUCUAAACAUCUGGAAGUCCUUCUUUGCAACCUCCUCCGCUCUUUCAUGUUCCAGUUUUCCUCUGCUGCCCUCAUUGAUUGGGAAAGCGACUGUGCCUUGUACCUUGAUAAACUCAAAGGAGCUCUAAUCCUCCAUGAACCCUAGAAAGUUGGGGCUAAAUGGAGCCUAAAGAUGGUCAUGACCUAGGACCUGGCUCCUGGCCCCAGGGGUGCCAUCCCAUGAUUCCUUGCCAGGUGACCCCAGACAAGUCCUUUCCCUCUCAGGGCCUCUGAUACCCCAUCCAGGAGAGAAAUGCAUUGGACCACACUUGAUCCCCAGGAGGACUGUCCAUCUUCAGUGUUCUAGAAUUCCAUGUCAAUCCAUGAAUGCAGAAGCUGAGGCCCAGGCAAAGUCGAGGACUUGCUCAAGUUUACACAAGGCGCUCACUGGCAUUUGGACCCAACUCCGAGGCCCUUGCCUGAUAGCCUAGCUUUUCUCUGCCUUAACCUUUGGAGGGCCCAACCUUGGUCUCGCCCUCCUUCUCCCUAAGUGCCCAGGUCUGGAAGCCACAGCUAAGGGUUUUUGGUAGGCACUAAAGGCCCUGUUUAGGAAAAAAUGUGCCUGGUGAUGGUAGUAUCUUUUCUACUCAUAUUUAGGCUGUGUCAUUAUUUCCAUAAUAAAGACCUCUUUUUCAGGUAUUAUAUCUUGGCUAGACAAUGCGGAGGAAGGGUCAGACUCUAGGACCUGAGGGGUAGGUAACAGACAGAGUGCUGGGAAGCCAGGAUAAGAAAGACCUUACUAGAUCCCAGGCACACAGGGCACGUGUGUGCACACACACAGCACACAUGCUCAUGGGCACACACUCACUGGGAACUCACACACACAUCUAUGUGGCCAGGCCCUCAUGGAAGCCAACAGCGCUAGGAUGCAGCCACACCUGUCACCAGGUAAGUAGGUGUGUGGGCAAAGAUGCUCAUAAGGAGACACAUCUGCCUGUCAAAGUGCACAGACCCAUCAGUGUAGACACAGGCAGGCCUCCAGAGGCACAUGCUGAGUGUGUGAAGACACAGAACAUCCUACACAUAAGCACUGAGGCAGGCGUGGAGUCAGGGCUCAGAGCUCCCAUGUGUUCUCUAGCUCAGCUCUGGGAGGAGUUGAACUCUGGCCAUGAAGUUUCUACUUCUGCUUAGUUCAGGGGCAUUGACUCUCUCAGUGGGUUGUGAGCCCAGCCAGGCCUUUCAGACUCUUCCCCAGUAUCUGACUGUUAGCCUCCUUCCCUCCCCUAGUUCCAUGGAGGGGAGGAGAGAGAGCCUGCCUUCUUGGUCCAGAAAAAAGUGGCAGUUAAUAGGAAGGGAGGGUUCCCAAGGCAGCCCAGGCUGGAGGGUGGAGCAUGAGCUGGGGACCCAAAGCCCCGCGGUCGGGUUCAGGCUGAGAGGCCCUGGGCAUGACACAUCUCUGCCCUGAGCUUCAGCCGCCCCACCUGUACAAUGGGGGCAAUUACUGCUGCUCAAAGGGGAUUGUGAAGGGGCUUCUGGCACACACGGGGGCUGAGAAACAGCAGCUGCCACAGCCCGACCACCCCUGGAAGGCCAGUCAGCCUGAGCCCCCUCUGUUAGGGCCUGUGUGACACCCCCAGGGACCUCAGCAUGGGGAAGAGGAUUGAAGCGGGUUCACUCGAUGACCUGUUAGAGCAAUUGAGGACUUUGUCCUGGAGAAGAGCAGGCCUGGGGACUGAGAGCUCUGCUUUUAGAACUAUGAAGAGCUCCUGAGUGGCAGAGGAGCACAUGGAUGCUGGGGAUGGAACUAGGCCAGUGAGUAUUGGGCUCCAUGUGAGGAAAAGAAGUGACAGAAUGAGACAUUCCUUUGGAGGUAGAGAGCUCCCUGUCAUGGGAGAUAAUCAAGCUGGGGCCAGAAUACUGUAGAGGGAAUUCAAGUGUUGGAUGGGGCUGAAGGUUGGACCAGACACCGGUUUCUGGCCUAGGUUUGGCUUGUCAUUAACAUUCCCUGAACGAAAGAGAGUGAAACCAAAGCUCCACUCAUGACCUGACCGUCUAUGAUGCAGGACCUGCCAGCUCUGAGUUCUCACCCUGGCAUCUUUAGCUGCGAGUGCGUGACCUUGGGCCUCCUCAGGCCUCAGUCUCAUCAUCUGAAAAUGGGGAGAACUGACCAUCUUCCAUGGCCUUCCCCCCAUGUAACCUUUGGUAGUUCAAUAGCUCAUAUUCUUUAUUGCUGCUUUUCAGUUUAUUCCAAAAUGCCUGCCCAUAUAAAUGGAAAAUGACACGGGGAAGCAAAAGCAGACCGACAAGCCAGAUGAAGGUCAAUAGGACCAGGAGAGUGGUCCCCCCCACCGAGUGGGGGCCCCAAGGUCCACCUACAGGGGUUUUUAAAAAGCUGGGUGACAGGUUUAUUAGGGAUGUCUGUUUUAUUAUUACUAUUUAAACAACAUUUAUAUAUACUCCCUGUUUACUUUAUAAUAAAACAUUUUAAAGGAAAAGCACAAGGGAAAAAAAUAGAAAAAGCCCUCCCUCCCCUGAGCUUCUGAAAAAAAAAAAAAGGACAAAAAUGCUUACAUUUGCAUAGAGUUGUGAAACUGCCCAUGGUGCCUCCAAUUGGGGAGUGUUUCUUCUUGGCCAAGUCAAUGUUUCAACCAGGUUGUCCUGUCCGCCAGCCCACCCACAACCAAAUCACUGAGUGGCCAUUGAAGCCAUCCUCAUCAUGGCAAUCCCCCCCCCCACCCCCAAGUGGAGCAUUUCUGGGUACCCAGCCCCUCCCGGACACGCUCCCUAUCAAGCUCCCUACAUCUUACCAGCAUCCUUCCACGUACAUGUCAUGGGCCUACUUUACAGGCAAGGGAUUAAAGUUCAUUGAGUAAGUCUCCUGGACCCUGCUAGGAAGGGGCGGAGCUGGGGUUUGAACCAAGAUCUAUUGAUGCUGAAAUUGCACCCUGGGGGGCAGGCCCCUCAGUUAUAAUAACAAAUGCUCUCUACACUUCACAGGCAUUAUGUCUUUUAUCCUUACAGCCGCCCUAUGUGUUAGGUACCCUUCUCAGCACUUCCAUUAUAACACCAGGAAAACUGAGGCACAGAAGGUUUAGUUACUUGCCCCAGUUCACACUGAGGGUGAGUGUCAGAACCGAUCUUUGAACCCAGGCAGCCCUUGCUGCCCUGCCUGGCCCAUGGGGAGCACAGACACUGUGGAUGCAAGACAGAACUGUGGUCUGGGGUCCACAGAUGAGCCUCAGGGACCUGAGGCGAGAAGGGGAAGAUGGCUGGGCUUGGGGGAGGCAGCCAGGGAGAUCUGCUCCCAGAGUGACGCCAGCCCUGUGCAGUGAGCCAUGUACCCCCGCCUCCCUGUCGCCUACCAAGCCUGUGGUCCUUAGGGAGGUGCUGAGGAUGUGGGCAGAGCUGAAUAGAAGCUAGAGCAAGAUCGUAAAUCCUCUCCUGGCCUGUCUGGGCCAAGGUUCGGACACCGGGCGCUCUUUGUAAUUUGCCGUUGACAUGAGUUUGUCACUGGCAAGAAUGUGACUUUCAUCAUCUGUGCAUCUCUGGGUGCUCCUGAGUGGGCUUCUGGAAGGGGGUCAUAGAACAUGCUCAGACCCUGGGUGGGGGCUGCAGCCUCCUAUUGCCGCCUCUCUGAACCUCGGUCAAAUCAAGGAUGGGCUGGAAGGUCUAAAAGUCCUUAGCUCGGAGCCCGGGCCCCCACCCCAGGACACAGUCUUAUCCUUGGGGAGCCCUGCACUCGCUGGGGGAAGAGCUGGGAUGGAAAGGAAAAGGAGAAACAAACACGAAUCAUUCAGUCAACAAAUAUGGUUUGAGCAGCCACUAUGUGCCGGGGGUUAUUUUGGGUGCUGGGGAUGCAGCCAUGGACAUGACAGCUUUGAUUCUGGCAGGGGAGGCAGAUGAUAAGCAAGGAGGCAAGUAAAGAAACACGUCAAUGGAGGGGUGGUCGCUAAUUCGUUAGACGGGGGUCGGUGAAGGUUUCUCGGAAGAGGUGACAUGUGAGCUGAGACCUGAAGGUUAAGAAGGACUCUGAUGGAGGAAGGGAGAAGGGAGCUGGUAGGAGCCCCCCACUCCCGCCCCUUCCCUGUCUGCCAGGAACUGGCUUCUCCCACCUGCUUUCUGCCCUCUUCUCAGCACUGCAUGUCCAUGAUUUCUAAAACUUUUUCCUCCCAUUUUGCUUCUCCCGCAAUAGCCCCGAGAACCAGAUGGGGAGAAUUUAAGUGGCCUGACCUCCAGCUGAGGAAACUGAGGCCAGGACGGCAGGGCUGCCCAGCAUUCCUUGUGCUGCAAUGCCAGAACACACCAGGUCCCCAGCCCCGGCCUGAUGCUCCUUGGCCAGCCCCACUGUCCAGGGGCAGGGCCCGGGAGGGGCAGCGCUGGGGGCUGGGCCAGGGUCCUGGGCGGAAGGCGCCCAGCCCUGAUUGGAACAAGGUGGCGGCACGGGGAGCCCAGCCGGGCUUCAUUGAUCUUGCCCGGUGUUCCAGCCACCGGGCGGGGCCAGCGCCGGGCAGGCUGCCGGUUUUCCCAGGUGUGGGGACACCCUGGGGGAAUGGCCUUUCAUGUGGUGGUGGGGUAGGCAUGCCACCCAGCACGUGGGGGAGGCCAGGGCGUCGGGGGCACGCUGGCAGCGGGUGUGUGGGGCUGGGGGGGGGGGGUUGGGCCAGGGGACAUGGAAUCCCACAGCCGGCCAGUGUCAGGCCCCCGGAGACCGCGUCAUGGCCUCCAGGGUCCGAGACUCUGAGGAUGUCGGCAUCUUUGUCAUCGGAGCCCCCAGGGGUCGAGCGCUCACUGUGUGCCAGGCACAGUGCUGAACCCUUUAUAUGCGUUUACUCCCUGCAGCUUCUCUCCACUCCCGAGUCUGGGUUCCGUCAUCACCCC
ensembl:lncRNA